rnacentral:rRNA from 1 species
GAUGAACGCUAGCGGCAGGCUUAACACAUGCAAGUCGAGGGGUAACAUGGUAGCAAUAUUGAUGACGACCGGCAAACGGGUGCGGAACACGUACAGAAUCUACCUUGGUCUGGGGCAUAGCCCGAAGAAAUUCGGAUUAACUCCCCAUAAUAUAGAUGGGCGGCAUCGCCUGACUAUUAAAAAUUUAUUGGACCGAGAUGACUGUGCGUCCCAUUAGCUAGUUGGUAGGGUAACGGCCUACCAAGGCGACGAUGGGUAGCUGGUGUGAGAGCACGACCAGCCACACGGGCACUGAGACACGGGCCCGACUCCUACGGGAGGCAGCAGUGAGGAAUAUUGGUCAAUGGACGCAAGUCUGAACCAGCCAUGCCGCGUGAAGGAUGAAGGCCUUCUGGGUUGUAAACUUCUUUUAUGAGGGAAGAAACCCCAUUUUUCUAAAUGGGCCGACGGUACCUUAGGAAUAAGCACCGGCUAACUCCGUGCCAGCAGCCGCGGUAAUACGGAGGGUGCAAGCGUUAUCCGGAUUCACUGGGUUUAAAGGGUGUGUAGGCGGGCGCGUAAGUCAGUGGUGAAAUCUCCGGGCUCAACCCGGAAACUGCCAUUGAUACUAUGCGUCUUGAAUUUUGUUGAGGUUGGCGGAAUAAGUCAUGUAGCGGUGAAAUGCAUAGAUAUGACUUAGAACACCGAUUGCGAAGGCAGCUAACUAAGCAAAUAUUGACGCUGAGGCACGAAAGCGUGGGGAUCAAACAGGAUUAGAUACCCUGGUAGUCCACGCCCUAAACGAUGAUUACUCGACAUACGCGAUACACAGUGUGUGUCUGAGCGAAAGCAUUAAGUAAUCCACCUGGGAAGUACGUCCGCAAGGAUG